AGCGAACGCUGGCGGCAGGCUUAACACAUGCAAGUCGAGCGGGCGUAGCAAUACGUCAGCGGCAGACGGGUGAGUAACGCGUGGGAACGUACCUUUUGGUUCGGAACAACCCAGGGGAAACUUGGGCUAAUACCGGAUAAAGCCCUUACGGGGAAAGAUUUAUCGCCGAAAGAUCGGCCCGCGUCUGAUUAGCUAGUUGGUGAGGUAACGGCUCACCAAGGCGACGAUCAGUAGCUGGUCGAGAGGAUGAUCAGCCACAUUGGGACUGAGACACGGCCCAAACUCCGUACGGGAGGCAGCAGGUAGGGGAAUAUUGGACAAGUGGGCGCAAGCCUGAUCCAGCCAUGCCGCGUGAGUGAUGAA
rnacentral:rRNA from 1 species